GGCGUGGCCAGCGGCUGUUGUUACUGCGGCUUCAUCCAAAGAGAAAAGAGACACUGAGCGAAACAGGGCGACACUCUCCUCACAAUAGUUGUGUUUUUGGUCAGUAAGCGGAUAUUUUGUGACAGCACGCAGCCGAGCCGAUGUUGGCCAUUGUUCUAAACAGGACGGUAUGUGAGCUGAGAGAGGAUGAGCUGAGUCCUGAUGAUCCAGAGGUUGAAUCAGCAGCAGCUUGUGUGUAGAGAGACUCUGACUGGACCAUGUUACUGGGAGGUGGAGUCAAGAGGAGAGCUUCAUCCACAUGUUUCUCCAUGUCAGACCAGUGGUGUAGUCUAUGUGAUACGCAGCGUUCACUUUUGGACCAUGGGGGCUUCCGUCAAGCGUGACGUGGACCCGACGUUAACUACUAAGGAAGCAGUGAAGUUGUGCGGCGGGAACGAGUCGACAACUUGAACUGGUCCAACGCUCGUCAGUGGAGAAGGAAUGUGGAGAAAAAACAAUGAGAAGAAAGAAAAGGAAGCCCAGUAACACUAUUUGAGAUGGUAGGGAAGGAGAGCUGAUGGCGCUGUCGUCCUACCUGGUAAGUGGAACUCAUGUAUGUUAGAAUAAUAGUCACCACUAUUGGAACAGCAGCUGAUUGGCUCAUUGAAUUCUACCUAAAACUAGUCACUGGUGGUUUGGUUGAAAUCAAGGAGCUGCUGCUGCUGCUGCUCUGUGUGUGUGUUUGUGUAGAUGAGAACUGGACCUGGCCAGCCUUGUGGAGUGAGAGUCAGGAGAGGGAAUUUAAAAACAGGCCUCCUUGGUUAGAGCGGAGAAACGGAAAGUUAGGGAAACAUUAGACGACAUUUAAAGCUGCUAGAAACAGUUUAAAUGUACAAAGUUAACGCUGUGUUCACAUGUUAAUGUAGUUCAUUCAGAAAGUUGUUAAUAAAAAUGAAAUGAAUUCAUUGUCGUCUUAUUAAUUAAGGCCCCAUGUUCACCAUUAAAUGACUGAUGUGUUGGAUAUAGUUGAGUUUUUCCUCCUUUUGUCUAGUUUUCAGGCCUUUUCUUCUCCAUGGCUGAAGAUUGUAAACAGUUCAUUAAUAGUUGUGUCUCUGUUCAGCAGGUCUUAAUGCUAAUAUAGAUACAAAAAGGACAAUAAUGGAUCAUAAUGUUCAUUACUGAUGUUGUUGUUUACCUCCAGGUUGUGUAUCUGCACUGCAACAAAUCCACUGGCGUCCUCACAGAGGAAAGGGCGUCUACAUCUGAGGAGUGGGUGUCCUUUAAAAUCCAGUCCUCAGACACAAACCACAAACAGCUCUAGGUCCUUUUUCUUUAUUUCAAACUUAUUUGUCUUGUCACUGUCUGUUCAGUGGUUAAUUAAAGUCCAGCUGUUCAUGUCUGUUAUA